rnacentral:rRNA from 1 species
AUUGAACGCUGGCGGCAUGCCUUACACAUGCAAGUCGAGCGGCAGCGCGGGGCAACCCUCGCGGCGAGCGGCGGACGGGUGAGUAAUACAUCGGAACGUGUCCUGUCGUGGGGGAGUAACCAGUCGAAAGACUGGCUAAUACCGCAUGAGAUCGAAAGAUGAAAGCGGGGACCGCAAGGCCUCGCGCGAUUGGAGCGGCCGAUGCCGGAUUAGCAGUUGGCGGGGUAAAAGCCCACCAAGGCUACGAUCCGUAGCUGGUUUGAGAGAACGACCAGCCACACUGGGACUGAGACACGGCCCAGACUCCUACGGGAGGCAGCAGUGGGGAAUUUUGGACAAUGGGCGCAAGCCUGAUCCAGCCAUGCCGCGUGUGUGAAGAAGGCCUC